CACGCCGUAAACGAUGAGCACUAGGUGUCGGGGUCGCAAGACUUCGGUGCCGCAGUUAACGCAUUAAGUGCUCCGCCUGGGGAGUACGCACGCAAGUGUGAAACUCAAAGGAAUUGACGGGGACCCGCACAAGCAGCGGAGCAUGUGGUUUAAUUCGAAGCAACGCGAAGAACCUUACCAGGGCUUGACAUCCCUCUGACAGGUGGGUAACGCCACCCUCUCUUCGGAGCAGAGGUGACAGGUGG
rnacentral:rRNA from 1 species